UACGUAGGGGGCGAGCGUUGUCCGGAAUCAUUGGGCGUAAAGCGCGUGUAGGCGGCCCGGUAAGUCCGCUGUGAAAGUCCAGGGCUCAACCCUGGGAUGCCGGUGGAUACUGUCGGGCUCGAGUCCGGAAGAGGCGAGUGGAAUUCCUGGUGUAGCGGUGAAAUGCGCAGAUAUCAGGAAGAACACCCGUGGCGAAGGCGGUUCUCUGGGACGGUACUGACGCUGGAGACGCGAAAGCGUGGGGAGCGAACAGG
rnacentral:rRNA from 1 species